rnacentral:rRNA from 1 species
GACGAACGCUGGCGGCGUGCUUAACACAUGCAAGUCGAACGAUGACGACCGAGCUUGCUCGGUCUGAUUAGUGGCGAACGGGUGAGAAACACGUGAGCAACCUGCCCUUCACUCUGGGAUAACCUCGGGAAAUCGGGGCUAAUACCGGAUAUGAGCUCCUGUCGCAUGGCGGGUGUUGGAAAGUUUUUCGGUGAAGGAUGGGCUCGCGGCCUAUCAGUUUGUUGGUGAGGUAGUGGCUCACCAAGGCGAUGACGGGUAGCCGGCCUGAGAGGGCGACCGGCCACACUGGGACUGAGACACGGCCCAGACUCCUACGGGAGGCAGCAGUGGGGAAUAUUGCACAAUGGGCGAAAGCCUGAUGCAGCGACGCCGCGUGAGGGAUGACGGCCUUCGGGUUGUAAACCUCUUUCAGCAGGGAAGAAGCGAAAGUGACGGUACCUGCAGAAGAAGCGCCGGCUAACUACGUG